rnacentral:rRNA from 1 species
AGCUCCAAUAGCGUAUAUUAAAGUUGUUGCAGUUAAAAAGCUCGUAGUUGAAUUUCUGGUGGAGUUAGUCUGUCCUUCACUUGGUGUUGGUACGUGACUGUAUCUCUGCCCUCCUUGGUUGGAUCUGGUGCUGGCAUUUGGUUGUCGGCCUGGGGACGGCCAUCAUUUACUGUGAAGAAAUUAGAGUGUUCAAAGCAGGCUUAGGCCUUGAAUACAUUAGCAUGGAAUAAUGAGAUAGGGUUUUGGCACUAUUUCGUUGGUUUGCGCGCCGAAACAAUGAUUAAUAGGGACAGUUUGGGGAUAUUCGUAUUCCAUUGUCAGAGGUGAAAUUCUUGGAUUUCUGGAAGACGAACGACUGCGAAAGCAUUUAUCAAGGAUGUUUUCA